GAAAAAUAACCGCUGAAAAAAACGCGAACGAGAGAAGAAUGUAGGAGCAGAAGGUGAUUGUUGCAGUUCAACAGAUGUCAUUUGCAAUUGUCUCGUACAUGUAAACGGUGAUGACACCAUAAGUUGUUUAUCUGAAGUCAUUCUGAGAUUGCGAGGCCGCUUAAACAUCCAAAGAUUAUCGCAUCCACUACAGGGGUAUAAGUUUCCUCAAAAUCAACUGCUGGGAUUUGGGAAAAAUCAUUAUGUUAAAAUGCGUGCCUUACAUCGCAAAAACUCAUUAUUUACGUUUCCUUUUAUUUAAAGACACCCAUUUAUAACCUACUGGUUUGACGUCUAUGGGUGUUCGAACUGCUGGUUCGAAAAUGUUUAGUUUGUCGAGCAAAUUUAGUUCAAUCUUAAGUCAUGUAGCCAUUUUGGCUAUUUGUGUGCGUACACUCUUUCACACUUUCUAUAUACGUAAUCUUUUUUUUCA